AAAGCAACCAUUUUCCCUACGUGACAAAAAAUGCAAAUGUAGGGGUGCCUGGGUGACUCAUUAGGCAUUGAUGUUAAAAUUCAAAGAUUCUCCACAAGAGAUUGUAUUACUAUGAUUUAUAUUUCCAGAGAAAUAUGAAGCUGAGAAAGGAUGGAAGAGAGACAAUUUCUAAACAAUAGAAUUUUUUAUCACCAGGGCCACGAAAGCCUUCUGGAGAAAAGAAUGGUGGUGGGUGCUUGACACAUUCUCCCUUCUGAGAGAUCAUCUGCCCUGAAGAGGAAUUUAUGGCGGUAUUACUUCCUAGAGAUUGCUGCUUUUUUCAGGAAUGUGUGAUCAGAGAAGCUGAAACAAUACCCACAAAAAACAAAGAAGUUGAAAGCUGUUGCCCUGCUGAAUGAAGUCCAAGCAUUUUGCCAUGACAGGCCAGCCCUCCAGGCUCUGGCCUUCGCUCUGGCCUCUUCAGUCUCAUCUGUGCUCACUACAUCUCUUAAUAAUCUAUGUAUCCAGGAGACUGAACUACCUGUGGUGACCUGAAAAUGUCAAUGAGGUUUCUACCUCCAUUGCUUUCCCAUGGUGUUUUUCUUUGCCUCAAAUCCCCUUUGUUUUCUUUUUUGCCUGGUAAUUUUGCAUUCAUUAUUGAAAAUAAUGCUUUCUCGACAUUUCUCUUAUUUCUUGAGCCCUCAGGACAGAGUCCGUAACUUUUUUCUCUUCCUUCUCUCCUUCCAACACUGUCCUCCUAACACUGCCCAUCUGAAAUUAUUUCUCUACGGAGGCACUGGUCGCCUGUAGACUGAAAACUCCUUGAGGGCAGGGCCAGUGUCACCAUCACCUGAAACAGCCGGACACUUCAAUCUGUGCUUACUGAAUAGAAC